rfam:Triticum aestivum genome assembly, contig: Triticum_aestivum_CS42_TGACv1_scaffold_249409_3DL
AUACCUUUCUCGGCCUUUUGGCUAAGAUCAAGUGUAGUAUCUGUUCUUAUCAGUUUAAUAUCUGAUAUGUGGGGUACACCCCACAAUGAUAUUAAAUUAAUUUUUUAUGGGAGAGGGCCCACUACAGUGGCUUGCUACUGGGGUCCCUCAGGUGUCGCCCGUGUCUUGCACUACCGCAUGGGCUGGCGCACCCCAA